AGCGAACGUUUGCGGCGGGCUUAACACAUGCAAGUCGAACGAGAAUCCCUUCGGGGAGGAAAGUGGCGCACGGGUGCGUAACACGUGGAUAACCUACCCAUUGGUUGGGGGACAACACCGGGAAACUGGUGCUAAUACCCGAUGUGUCGUAGUGGUCGCAAGGCUGCUACGAGAAAGGCCCGCAAGGGUCGCCAGCGGACGGGUCCGCGUCCCAUCAGCUAGUUGGUGAGGUAAUGGCUCACCAAGGCGAAGCGGGUAGCUGGUCUGAGAGGAUGAUCAGCCACACUGGAACUGAGACACGGUCCAGACUCCUACGGGAGGCAGCAGUGGGAAUAUUGCGCAAUGGGCGAAGCCUGACGCAGCCACGCCGCGU
rnacentral:rRNA from 1 species